AACUUGUUCCCAACAUCAGAAUUUAGGAAUACUUUUAAGUAACCCUUUUCAAACUAGAAUUGCACUUGAUCAAGCCCAGUUUGGUCCAAGUCGGUUCAUAUCAGCCCACUCAGCCUGUACGAAGCUCCUGCAUGUGGAAAGCUGGUGUAAGAUCAGAAAACUAAAGUCCUGCAGGAGUAUUGUGCAAAGGAGUGCUGUGAUAUUUGCCCACUGUGAUGCCUAAUAUAAUGCAGUUCUUCCAGAAGCAAUGAUCUAAUCUGCAGUCAGGCAUGUAGUUGGGCAUGCACUCACUCUCCGUAUUACAGAGCCACUGGAAUAAGGAAUAAGUGAAAUAAUGCACCUACUGUCUAAUGGUUAGAUGUUAUGACUUCCUGUGUGGCAGCAUAGCUUAUCAGAGGAGGUACUGCUAUGUGUACAGUUAUGUACAUCAUCCCAAAAACUGAUGAAAUCAGUUUCUGUGAUCAGUUAAUGAGGCCUAAUGUGGAACUACCUGUAGGCUGAUUUUCUUUUGGAAGCAGGCCAGGAUGCUGGAGAAUAGUCAUGGGCAAUGCGUGUGGAUCCGGCCAGCUUUCUUGUACCAGGAGCCUCUUCUCUGUGCUUGCAGGGACCCAGCAAACGUGUACAGCCAGAGCAAAUUGGCAGAGUUCUGUGCAGGAGAAAGACGAGGAAGAGUGAUGACAAUGCAGGCUGUUAAAAUGUCAGAUGGUAAAAACAACCAAGAGUUCCAGAUGGGGCAAUUGGAAGAGAAACAUGCUGAAGAUGAUAAUAAGAAAGUUCUGGAUUCUCUCAAUUGGGAAUCCCAUGUCCUCACCUGUGACUUCCAAAUGCAAUCACUAUUCAAGUCUUGUGCAAAGCAGCACGUCAUGAGGAAGUUCUUCGUUAUCAGGUGCUCUCUCAUUUGGCCAGGAGUGUUCGACCAAACCAUAUUAGGUCCAUGUCAUGAGGAGUUCAGAGGAAACAUCACAGAGCUCUUUGCUGUUGAGUGGGAGGUCAUGAAGAGUUUGGAGUCUGGCUGUGGUGCUGAUAUGUACGAUGGGUUGGUGGAAAGAAGACAAGCCUGUGAGAGAUGCAACAUGCUGGUGCAUUUGAGAUAUGUGAACAUAAAACAAGCACCCAGUUUAUGUUGGUCUUUGUGCUAGCAUUGCUUCACAAGGCACUGGUGUUUGGUCUGGCUCAACUAGAUGCAGGCAUAUGCUUAGACUGCAGACCUACUGCCAAUGAUAUUCUUUCUGAAGCGAUUGCUAGGUAAGUCAAUUAUGUCACUCCUCUUAGAAUGGGAACUAUUAAUUACGUGAAUUAGAGAGACACAGCAAAAAUGAUCAAAGCAGGUGGUGAAAUGGGAUACCAAGAUACACAGUGUGGUUUAAUGCUCAUGAUGCCUGUUCACUGCGAAUGCCUUUGAAGAUGGGUGAUACGUAAUGUUUCUAAUUGAUUAUAUUAGUAAGGGUGUUAUCUGGAGGGCAUUUGAUGCAGAUUCAGGAAAUCUGGCUCUGUUUCUUGGUAUUUCAUUGGCCAGCUGAGCAAGUUAAUUCCUUUUUCUUUGCCUUAGUUGUUCCACCAUUAAAAGGCAGAUAAUCACCCAUAAAAUGGAAAUAAUUAUACUGUCCUGUUUGAAAAGGGUGUAGAGACCAACUGAUUACAAGUUCUGGAUGCAUUUUUGAAGUUAUUACUAUUUGCUUUGUUUAGAUAAGUUAAUAAUAACAGACACGUCAGCGUCAGUGGAUGUGCGACUUGCUUUGAGCUGGCAAGAAGAGAUGGGAACUUGAAUCAUUAUUGAUUUUCACUUUAAAGGUCUCUGCUAGCAAUUUAUUUAAAGGAAACAAUAAAGGUUGAUGCCAGAACUCUUCUUUUUGCU
ensembl:lncRNA